rnacentral:rRNA from 1 species
UACGUAGGGUGCGAGCGUUAAUCGGAAUUACUGGGCGUAAAGCGUGCGCAGGCGGUUUUGUAAGCCAGAUGUGAAAUCCCCGGGCUUAACCUGGGAAUGGCAUUUGGGACUGCAAGGCUUGAGUGCGGCAGAGGAGACUGGAAUUCCUGGUGUAGCAGUGAAAUGCGCAGAUAUCAGGAGGAACACCAGCGGCGAAGGCGGCGCUCUGGGCCGGAACUGACGCUGAGGAGCGAAAGCGUGGGUAGCAAACAGG